rnacentral:rRNA from 1 species
AUUGAACGCUGGCGGCAGGCCUAACACAUGCAAGUCGAACGGUAGCAGGAAGAAGCUUGCUUCUUUGCUGACGAGUGGCGGACGGGUGAGUAAUGUCUGGGAAACUGCCUGAUGGAGGGGGAUAACUACUGGAAACGGUAGCUAAUACCGCAUAAUGUCGCAAGACCAAAGAGGGGAACCUUCGGGCCUCUUGCCAUCAGAUGUGCCCAGAUGGGAUUAGCUAGUAGGUGGGGUAACGGCUCACCUAGGCGACGAUCCCUAGCUGGUCUGAGAGGAUGACCAGCCACACUGGAACUGAGACACGGGCCAGACUCCUACGGGAGGAAGCAGUGGGGAAUAUUGCACAAUGGGCGCAAGCCUGAUGCAGCCAUGCCGCGUGUGUGAAGAAGGCCUUCGGGUUGUAAAGCACUUUCAGCGGGGAGGAAGGGGGAAUGGUUAAUAACCAUUGCCAUUGACGUUACCCGCAGAAGAAGCACCGGCUAACUCCGUGCCAGCCGCCGCGGUAACAC